ensembl:lncRNA NSUN5P1 NSUN5 pseudogene 1
CGGGAACAUGGGGCUGUACGCUGCGGUGGCAGGCGUGCUGGCCGGCGUGGAGAGCCGCCAGGGCUCUAUCAAGGGGCUGGUGUACUCCAGCAACUUCCAGCCUUGAUGACUUACAAGCCCUCAAGGGGAAGCAUUUUCUCCUGGACUCCUUGAUGCCGGAGCUGCUGGUGUUUCCCGCCCAGACAGAUCUGCAUGAACACCCACUGUACCGGGCCGGACACCUCAUUCUGCAGGACAGGGCCAGCUGUCUCCCAGCCAUGCUGCUGGACCCCUGCCAGGCUCCCAUGUCAUCGAUGCCUGUGCCGCCCCAGGCAAUAAGACCAGUCACUUGGCUGCUCUUCUGAAGAACCAAGGAUCUUUGCCUUUGACCUGGAUGCCAAGCGGCUGGCAUCCAUGGCCACGCUGCUGGCCUGGGUUGGCGUCUCCUGCUGUGAGCUGGCUGAGGAGGACUUCCUGGCGGUCUCCCCCUUAGAUCCGCGCUAUCGUGAGGUCCACUAUGUCCUGCUGGAUCCUUCCUGCAGUGGCUCGGGUGAGAUGGUAUGCCGAGCAGACAGCUGGAGGAUCCCGGGGCAGGGACACCUAGCCCGGUGCGUCUGCAUGCCCUGGCAGGGUUCCAGCAGCGAGCCCUGUGCCACGCGCUCACUUUCCCUUCCCUGCAGCGGCUCGUCUACUCCAUGUGCUCCCUCUGCCAGGAGGAGAAUGAAGACAUGGUACCAGAUGCGCUGCAGCAGAACCCGGGCGCCUUCAGGCUAGCUCCCGCCCUGCCUGCCCGGCCCCACCGAGGCCUGAGCACGUUCCCGGGUGCCGAGCACUGCCUCCGGGCUUCCCCCAAGACCACGCUUAGCGGUGGCUUCUUCGUUGCUGUAAUUGAACGGGUCGAGAUGCCGAUGUGAGUGAGUGGGGGCAUGCUUGGGAGGCGCAGGAUGGUACUGGCACAUCUAACAUCUACACUUCUCUAGCUCAGCCUCACAGGCCAAAGCAUCAGCACCAGAACGCACACCCAGCCCAGCCCCAAAGAGAAAGAAGAGACAGCAAAGAGCCGCAGCCGGUGCUUGCACACCGCCUUGCACAUAGCAGAGGCUCCAGGCUGACUCCUUCCUGGUGGGAAAGGAAGAUGCCUGUCCUCUCCGUGGAGGACCCUGGGCCCUCACCGCAGGCAGCAGUUUGCAUUUUGAAAGGUUAUUGGGUCCCUUCCUCGGGCUGUGUUCUUGCUGGUGAGCAAAAGUGUUGCCUGCAGAAAUAAAAUGCAGAACGUACUCUACGAUA